rnacentral:tRNA from 1 species
GCUUUCGCGGUGUAGGAGUCAGCACGCUGGGCGCGUAAUCCAGAUGUCAGUGGUUCGAAUCCCGUCGAAAGCG